ACAGAGACAGUAUGGCUCACAAAGCCUCAAAUAUUUACCCAAGUCCCUUUACAGGAAAAGUUUGCCAACCCCUGAUAGGAGCUCAUGGAUGAAAAGUACUGUAGAACAAUGCCUGACACAGAAUCUCAAAGCAAGGCUUGUUGGACAAAUAAAUGAAGAUGAGCCCAAGAGCCCAGGAGAGGGACCGGGAACAGCAGGGCCUCCGUGACUCACACAAGCUUCAUCCCUGAACCAAGGACGCAGCCUGCCAACAAUGGCCCCAAGCCACACCCCGCCACAGGGGGAACUGAUGCUGCGGUGAGAAGUGACAGCUUUCUGUUGACUCUUUUUUUUUUCAAGCAGAAUAUGAAUUGAGACAUACUUUCAUUUUCAUAAUCAGAACCUAACACUUA
rnacentral:lncRNA from 10 species